rnacentral:rRNA from 1 species
CCCUUUGUGAACAUACCUAUAACUGUUGCUUCGGCGGGUAGGGUCUCCGUGACCCUCCCGGCCUCCCGCCCCCGGGCGGGUCGGCGCCCGCCGGAGGAUAACCAAACUCUGAUUUAACGACGUUUCUUCUGAGUGGUACAAGCAAAUAAUCAAAACUUUUAACAACGGAUCUCUUGGUUCUGGCAUCGAUGAAGAACGCAGCGAAAUGCGAUAAGUAAUGUGAAUUGCAGAAUUCAGUGAAUCAUCGAAUCUUUGAACGCACAUUGCGCCCGCCAGCAUUCUGGCGGGCAUGCCUGUUCGAGCGUCAUUUCAACCCUCAAGCUCUGCUUGGUGUUGGGGCCCUACAGCUGAUGUAGGCCCUCAAAGGUAGUGGCGGACCCUCCCGGAGCCUCCUUUGCGUAGUAACUUUACGUCUCGCACUGGGAUCCGGAGGGACUCUUGCCGUAAAACCCCCAAUUUUCCAAAGGUUGACCUCGGAUCAGGUAGGAAUACCCGCUGAACUUAAGCAUAUCAAUAAGCGGAGGAAAAGAAACCAACAGGGAUUGCCUCAGUAACGGCGAGUGAAGCGGCAACAGCUCAAAUUUGAAAUCUGGCCCUAGGCCCGAGUUGUAAUUUGCAGAGGAUGCUUUUGGUGCGGUGCCUUCCAAGUUCCCUAGAACGGGACGCCAGAGAGGGUGAGAGCCCCGUACAGUUGGACACCAAGCCUUUGUAAAGCUCCUUCGACGAGUCGAGUAGUUUGGGAAUGCUGCUCAAAAUGGGAGGUAUAUUUUUUCUAAAGCUAAAUACCGGCCAGAGACCGAUAGCGCACAAGUAGAGUGAUCGAAAGAUGAAAAGCACUUUGAAAAGAGGGUUAAACAGCACGUGAAAUUGUUAAAAGGGAAGCGCUUGUGACCAGACUUGCGUCCGGUGAAUCACCCAGCUCUCGCGGCUGGGGCACUUCGCCGGCUCAGGCCAGCAUCAGCUCGCUGUCGGGGACAAAAGCUUCAGGAACGUAGCUCUCUUCGGGGAGUGUUAUAGCCUGUUGCAUAAUACCCUUCGGCGG